rnacentral:rRNA from 1 species
UACAGAGGUCUCAAGCGUUGUUCGGAUUCAUUGGGCGUAAAGGGUGCGUAGGCGGCGUGGUAAGUCGGGUGUGAAAUCUCGGAGCUUAACUCCGAAACUGCAUUCGAUACUGCCGUGCUUGAGGACUGGAGAGGAGACUGGAAUUUACGGUGUAGCGGUGAAAUGCGUAGAUAUCGGAAGGAAGACCAGUGGCGAAGGCGGGUCUCUGGACAGUUCCUGACGCUGAGGCACGAAGGCCAGGGGAGCAAACGGG